rnacentral:sRNA from 1 species
AAUAAACUAAAUGACUUUUUGGCAAGACGAAUUUGGAGAGACGGGUUUUUGAAUCAACAUUAAUAAAAAAGUAAAAUAUGAUUAAUCCACCGUUUCAAUACGGGUUAAAUCUUUAAUUUAUUAUUUUGUAAGACCACUAAUAUUAAACAUAUCAAAUCAUCAUAAUUUAAAAAAGAUUAUAUAAAACCAAAAAUGUUAUGUGGUAUGUAUAAUGUUACUAUAUAUAAAAUUAAAUAAUAAAAUAUAAAUGUAUUAGAGAAUGAUACAAUUUGCAAAACUUUAAUAUAUAAAAAAUAAUUCUUAAAUUUUAAAAAUUACUACUUUAAAAAAAUAAUCACGGGACGGGUAAAAAAAUUACAGAACGGGUUUUAUUUUGGAAUUGGGUUAUAUGGUGGAUGUAUUUGAAUCAAUAUUUAUAAAAUUUUAAAAUAUUAUUAAUAUGCUGUUUUAAUAGGGAUUAAAACUUCAGUUUUUUAACAAUUAUCUCAUGGAUUCGUGGUAUAGGGUUACCUAAUAACAAUUAUAAACUGGAAAAU